AGAGAUGUGGCUCAGUGAUAGAGCACUUGCCUAGCAUGUACAAGACCCUGGGUUCAAAUCCCAGCACUG
rnacentral:tRNA from 1 species